rnacentral:lncRNA from 1 species
UAUUCGGUUUGUGGAAGAAUGGAAAAGAUUUUAGUUUGUGCUGUUUUGACUUGGGAGAGUUUUUUCUCUUGUAAAAAGCAGGAAAAAAAUCUUUAUACAGAUAUUCUGAUAUAGAGAUUAGGAAAAGUUGAGUAGAAAUCUUUACUCUCAUUACUAUUUGAUAGUAAUGAUGCCAAAUUGACAAAAUUGUAUACAUUUCUGCUUAUUCCUUACCAGUGAAUUUGGAAUUCCUUUCCUAUGUACAGUGGUCCUGAAGAGUGGAGUCACCUUCAAAUCUUAAAGCUGACUGAGGUUGAGAAACUCCACUUCAGGUCGUAGAAUCAUAUAAUCAAAAAAGUGAAAGGCACUGAUACAGAGGCAGCUUAUGGUUCUGUCAUAGAUGAAAUAUCUGGAAAGCCCUGACUUUGAGCCACACCAGAGCAUGUGACAGCACUGUGAAGUCUCUGAGCUGGCAACACACACGUCUCCGUGCUCCAAUCCCACCCGUCCUGUGUGGAUCAUGGUGAGAUGUACCAUCUGAGGGCUCUUUUCUGGACCCAGCUUCCUGCUCUGGUGGAGGUGGAGGUGGAUGUGGAGUCCAUGGUGGAAGCGGAGGCUGAAUUGGAAGCAGAGGCAGAGGCAGCAGGAGCCCCUGAGACCGCUCUGUCAGCCCCAGGCGCAGGGUUCUCCAUAGGCUCAGACUGGGGGCUCAGGCUCGGCUUCGGGCUCCAGGUCGCAGCUGUCCCUCUCCCUCAUCACUCUGUGGCACAGCACGAGCACCAUGCGCUUGCGGUGUCGGCUGGGGCUCUCUUCCAGCACGGAGACCACCUGGUCGAUGACCUUCUGCUUCUGGAGGACAGGACAGGGGAGGAGAGGACAGGAGAGGCCUGGUCAGUGGGGGCCGCGCUGGGCUGGGGGCCGCCCUGCCCGGCCCUGGGGGAGGAGGAGGAAGGGCUGGGACCAGGAGGGCAGGGCCAGGCCGGGGACACGGACAGGGACAAGAACAGGACACAACCCGGGUCCUCUCACCCUCUCGGCCUCUGCGUGCUGGGCCUCAGCCUGGGCCAUGCUCUCCUCCGCCCUCUUCCUCUUGGACCUCCUCUUGGAGCUCCUCUGCUCUUCUUCCCCCUGCACCAUGGGCUUCUGGGUGUUGACCCGAGUGACAGCCCGCUUGCCCUUCUUCCCGCAGUCUUCCUCCUCCGUGGCUAAGCUUCCCACCUCCGGGCCAGCCCCGCUUUCUUUUCUGAACCCUGCUGCAGCUGUGGGAGCCGCACCCUACCCUUGUUACCCCACCCAGGCUCUGCACCAGCCAAUGGGAGCCCUGGGGAGGCUCAGAUGUCACAAACUCCUACCCUGACACCUGGGGUGGGGGUGGGCGGACACUACCAUGUGCUCCAAACUCACCUGCAGCCCUUUCUCAGCUUCCGGUGUUCAAGUCUCACUGCACACAUGAGAGCCCCGAGCGAGCCACCCCUAUUACUCCAUUCCUUAGCCCUCCUCAUUAUGUGCCAUAGGAAAUCCCUCCAGGCCCUUGUGGACCUGGAAAUCAGCCUGCUUUCCCCUACAAUUCAGUCAUAUGCACCUUGGAAGCCGCCUACUCCUUGGCUAAAGCCAUGCUACCUUUUAAUCCCACCUGCUUUGCUCCUGUGGCCACUUAGAAUUCCUCAGUUUCCUGACCCCUAGGCAUACCUUCCUCCAACAGGGUGACACUGGCCUCAUUGCCUUUGGGAGAUCAUAGAACUCCACAUAGAAAAACAAAAAAUAAGGCCAACAAAGGAAACGACCAGCGCCACUAGAGUUUUGCUUCCGGUUCCCCUGCUCACCUCACACACAAGACAGGCCACCCCACAUGCUGUCCUGAGAUCCAGACACAGCAAACCGGUACCAUUCAUUCCAAGGACGACUGUCCAACAUGGUCUAGGAGAACAAUGCUAUCAAGGAGAAUCAGUCAGCUUCCAUUACUGUAAUCACAUAGCAGAGGCUACUAGCUCAUAGAAACAACGGGUUUAUUUAGGCCCAUAAUUCUGGAAGGGCCAAUCCAGGGUUAAAUGGCUCCAUGUCUUCUGACCGCCGGUGAGGGCCUCCUAUCAUGGUGAAAGCACGUGGGAGAAUAAACUGCUCACCCAUUGAGCCAAGAAGCAAGGAGAGAGACAGAAAUAGACUGGGGACCCAUCACUGCCUUCAAGGGAAUACCCUCAAAGGCCUAAGGACUGCCCAUUGCGCACCAUCUCCUAAAGGUUCUGCCACCUUCAUUACCACCAUCCCGGGAAGAAAGCAUUCAACAUUGGUGCCUUGCAGGACACAGAUCCCAGCCAGAGCACAGUGCAUCUGUGUCUUACGAACCCAAGGGUGCCCAGUGACUACUUCUUCCCUUUACUUAAAUACUCACAAACCAAUUUGUAAGUGGUUGGGGCGGAAGUACAGGGUUCCUUCCUGCAACCAGUUGUCAGAACAACACCCUGAAAUGAACAAACAACAGAAAACCCACACAUGCUGACUGCAUCAAAUACAGCAGGUCAAAAAUUGAUUAAAUGUAUUUGAAAUGAAAAAAAAAAAAAAGAUAUUUCAGUACUACUUAGUGGAAAAAAACAAGUUGCAAAACCAUGAUACCAUUUCUUAAAAUACAGUCAUGUGUCACUUCACAAUGGGGAUACAUUCUGAGAAAUGUUUCAUUAAGUGAUUUCAUAGUCAUACAGAUACCAAAAAGGGUACUUAAUAUCAUGUGGGCUGGCUAGGACAUUACUAGACUAUAUAAUCUCAGGGGACUACCAUCAGAUAAAUUUUUAUAGGCAGAAUUAAUGUUGGUCCAAGGGUAUACAUCUGAGUAAUAAUUAUUAUUACUUUGCACUAAUUUACAUUAGUGAGUGUAUGAGCACUCCCCCCAUCUCUCACUUACAGAGAUGGUGCUCAGCUUACAAUAGUUUGACUUACUGAUUUUUUUUUUUUUACUUUAUUAUGAUGUGAAAGCAUACACAUUCAAUAGAAAACAUGCCUGGAAUUUUGAAUUUGGCCCUCUACCUAGGUUAUGGAUGUGCAGUCCCAUCUUCUGUUGUGAUGCUGGGCAGUGGCAGUAACUGUAGCUUCCAGUCAACCCUGUAAUCAUAAAGGGAAAUAACUAUGACUCUACAGUAUGUUAUAUGCCUAAGCUAGGAUGUAUGGUAAGCUAGAUAUAUUAAAUACAUCUUCAACUUAUGAUAUUUUCAAUUUAGGA